rnacentral:rRNA from 1 species
UGGGGAAUAUUGGACAAUGGGCGCAAGCCUGAUCCAGCCAUGCCGCGUGUGUGAAGAAGGCCUUCGGGUUGUAAAGCACUUUUGUUGGGGAAGAAAAGCUCGCGGUUAAUACCCGUGGGUUCUGACGGUACCCAAAGAAUAAGCACCGGCUAACUUCGUGCCAGCAGCCGCGGUAAUACGAAGGGUGCAAGCGUUACUCGGAAUUACUGGGCGUAAAGCGUGCGUAGGUGGUUCGUUAAGUCAGAUGUGAAAGCCCCGGGCUCAACCUGGGAAUUGCAUUUGAUACUGGCGGGCUAGAGUGCGGUAGAGGAGAGUGGAAUUCCCGGUGUAGCAGUGAAAUGCGUAGAGAUCGGGAGGAACAUCAGUUGCGAAGGCGGCUCUCUGGACCAGCACUGACACUGAGGCACGAAAGCGUGGGGAGCAAACAGG